rnacentral:lncRNA from 1 species
GUCUUGAUCUCGAAGAAGGUAAGAACCUCUCCGGCUUAAACUCAUUAGGAUCUUCCCAAGUAUCAGGAUCUCUCAUCAAAGCAUAAACAUUAAUAACAAGCAUUGUCUUCUCUGGCAUGUAAAAGCCUUUGACCUCACAACUCUCUUGGAAUGUUCUAACCAAGAGCGGCGAUGGAGGGUGCAUUCGUAGUCCUUCCUUAACCGUUGCUUGCAAAUAAGGCAGGUUUGGUAGAUCAGUUUCUUUCAUCAAUCUUGAUUUCCCGACAACCGAAUCGAUUUCUUCUCUAAUUCUUUCAAGAAUGUUAGGCUUGUUAAUAAGUUCAGCCAUUAUCCAUUGUACGGUUUGCGCGGAAGUGUCAGUGCCUCCAAGGAAAAUCUCCUACAGAAGUACAUAACAU